rfam:TPA: Bos taurus chromosome 7, whole genome shotgun sequence.
UUCCUGGUAGUGUAGUGGUUAGGACUCUGCACUUUCACUGCCAUGGUCCUGGGUUCAAUCCCUGGUCAGGGAA